CCGCGAAUUCCAUCUAUCGCGUGCACCAUAACAGGGGACCCGCGGAUUCCGUUGCUAGGUUUACGUUGUCAACCUCUUCAAAAGCCAAAGGGAUGCGGUUCCAUUUUCAUUUUCUCUCCACUCGCACUAAAACGCUGCUGCCGCCAACACCAUCGCCACCGCCCCUGAGAGCCCUACGUCACGCCGCCGUAUCCAUAAACCACAUCCAUCGCUCCUCCGCCCGAAGGCUGUAGUCACC
rnacentral:lncRNA from 1 species